AUACGUAGGGGGCGAGCGUUGUCCGGAAUGAUUGGGCGUAAAGGGCGCGUAGGCGGCCUGUUAAGUCUGGAGUGAAAGUCCUGUUUUCAAGAUGGGAAUUGCUUUGGAUACUGAUGGGCUUGAGUGCAGGAGAGGUUAUCGGAAUUCCCGGUGUAGCGGUGAAAUGCGUAGAGAUCGGGAGGAACACCAGUGGCGAAGGCGGGUAACUGGACUGCAACUGACGCUGAGGCGCGAAAGUGUGGAGCAAACAGGAUUAGAUACCCUGGUAGUCCACACUGUAAACGAUGAAUGCUAGGUGUAAGAGGUAUCGACCCCUUUUGUGCCGGAGUUAACACAAUAAGCAUUCCGCCUGGGGAGUACGGCCGCAAGGUUGAAACUCAAAUGAAUUGACGG
rnacentral:rRNA from 1 species